GCACUGGUGGGGUAGUGGUAACCUGGAUCGUUGCCAGACCAAUUCGAUCCGCCCCGGGUUCAAUUCCCGGCCAGUGCA